GACGAACGCUGGCGGCGUGCUUAACUCCUGCACGUCGAACGAAGUGGCGAACGGGUGAGUAACGCGUAAUCAACCUGCCCUUCAGAGGGGGACAACAGUUGGAAACGACUGCUAAUACCGCAUACUGAAGGAGGGGAUUGCGUCUGAUUUGCUAGUUGGAGGGGUAACGGCCCACCAAGGCGAUGAUCAGUAGCCGGUCUGAGAGGAUGAACGGCCACAUGGGGACUGAGAAACGGCCCUUACGCCUACGGGAGGCAGCAGUGGGGAAUAUUGGACAAGGGACGAAAGGCUGACGGAGCAACGCCGCGUGAGUGAUGACGGCCUUCGGGUUGUAAAGCUCUGUUAAUCGGGACGCGGUACCGGAAUAGAAAGCCACGGCUAACUACGGGCCAGCAGCCGCGGUAAUAC
rnacentral:rRNA from 1 species